AGAGUUUGAUCCUGGCUCAGGACGAACGCUGGCGGCGCGCCUAACACAUGCAAGUCGAACGAGCGAGAGAGAGCUUGCUUUCUCGAGCGAGUGGCGAACGGGUGAGUAACGCGUGAGGAACCUGCCUCAAAGAGGGGGACAACAGUUGGAAACGACUGCUAAUACCGCAUAAGCCCACGACCCGGCAUCGGGUAGAGGGAAAAGGAGCAAUCCGCUUUGAGAUGGCCUCGCGUCCGAUUAGCUAGUUGGUGAGGUAACGGCCCACCAAGGCGACGAUCGGUAGCCGGACUGAGAGGUUGAACGGCCACAUUGGGACUGAGACACGGCCCAGACUCCUACGGGAGGCAGCAGUGGGGAAUAUUGCACAAUGGGGGAAACCCUGAUGCAGCGACGCCGCGUGGAGGAAGAAGGUCUUCGGAUUGUAAACUCCUGUUGUUGAGGAAGAUAAUGACGGUACUCAACAAGGAAGUGACGGCUAACUACGUGCCAGCAGCCGCGGUAAAACGUAGGUCACAAGCGUUGUCCGGAAUUACUGGGUGUAAAGGGAGCGCAGGCGGGAAGACAAGUUGGAAGUGAAAUCCAUGGGCUCAACCCAUGAACUGCUUUCAAAACUGUUUUUCUUGAGUAGUGCAGAGGUAGGCGGAAUUCCCGGUGUAGCGGUGGAAUGCGUAGAUAUCGGGAGGAACACCAGUGGCGAAGGCGGCCUACUGGGCACCAACUGACGCUGAGGCUCGAAAGUGUGGGUAGCAAACAGGAUUAGAUACCCUGGUAGUCCACACCGUAAACGAUGAUUACUAGGUGUUGGAGGAUUGACCCCUUCAGUGCCGCAGUUAACACAAUAAGUAAUCCACCUGGGGAGUACGACCGCAAGGUUGAAACUCAAAGGAAUUGACGGGGGCCCGCACAAGCAGUGGAGUAUGUGGUUUAAUUCGACGCAACGCGAAGAACCUUACCAAGUCUUGACAUCCUGCGACGAUGCUGGAAACAGUAUUUUCCUUCGGGACGCAGAGACAGGUGGUGCAUGGUUGUCGUCAGCUCGUGUCGUGAGAUGUUGGGUUAAGUC
rnacentral:rRNA from 1 species